GAUGAACGCUGGCGGCGUGCUUAACACAUGCAAGUCGAGCGAAGCGCUUAAGUUUGAUUCUUCGGAUGAAGACUUUUGUGACUGAGCGGCGGACGGGUGAGUAACGCGUGGGUAACCUGCCUCAUACAGGGGGAUAACAGUUAGAAAUGACUGCUAAUACCACAUAAGACCACGGUACCGCAUGGUACAGUGGUAAAAACUCCGGUGGUAUGAGAUGGACCCGCGUCUGAUUAGGUAGUUGGUGGGGUAACGGCCUACCAAGCCGACGAUCAGUAGCCGACCUGAGAGGGUGACCGGCCACAUUGGGACUGAGACACGGCCCAGACUCCUACGGGAGGCAGCAGUGGGGAAUAUUGCACAAUGGAGGAAACUCUGAUGCAGCGACGCCGCGUGAAGGAUGAAGUAUUUCGGUAUGUAAACUUCUAUCAGCAGGGAAGAAAAUGACGGU
rnacentral:rRNA from 1 species